GCUGACGAGUGGCGGACGGGUGAGUAAUGUCUGGGAAACUGCCUGAUGGAGGGGGAUAACUACUGGAAACGGUAGCUAAUACCGCAUAACGUCGCAAGACCAAAGAGGGGGACCUUCGGGCCUCUUGCCAUCGGAUGUGCCCAGAUGGGAUUAGCUAGUAGGUGGGGUAACGGCUCACCUAGGCGACGAUCCCUAGCUGGUCUGAGAGGAUGACCAGCCACACUNCACAAUGGGCGCAAGCCUGAUGCAGCCAUGCCGCGUGUAUGAAGAAGGCCUUCGGGUUGUAAAGUACUUUCAGCGGGGAGGAAGGGAGUAAAGUUAAUACCUUUGCUCAUUGACGUUACCCGCAGAAGAAGCACCGGCUAACUCCGUGCCAGCAGCCGCGGUAAUACGGAGGGUGCAAGCGUUA
rnacentral:rRNA from 1 species